rnacentral:rRNA from 1 species
GCGGUGGAAAAGAAACCAAAAGGGAUUCCCCUAGUAACGGCGAGCGAAAAGGGAAUAGCUCAGCGUCAAGUCCUUCCGUUGUAUAGCGUGAAGGAGAUGCGACGUGAAUGCUGCAGUGCAUCGUAUUAGUCAAUUGACGCAAGUCCCUCUGACAAGGGCUUUUUCCAUAGCGGGUGCUAGACCCAUAGCUGUCAAGAGACUUAUACGCAAACUGUAGCGUACUAGAGUCAGGUUGCUUGAGAGUGCAGCCUAAAUUAGGUGGUAAACUCCACCUAAGGCUAAAUAUUGCCGUGUAACCGAUAGCAAACAAGUACCGUGAGGGAAAGUUGCAAAGAACUUUGAAGAGAGAGUUCAAAAGGACGUGAAACCGUUUGUAGGUAAACAUGUGGAACCACGAAGUGUGCUGAAGAUGAGGAUUCAACUGUCCCGAUUGAGACAGUUGCCGGUGUGCUAUGUGACUCUCGAAAGAGGGUAGGCAUCGGUAACACUUAAUGUCUGUAUUCGGGCGGUGCAUUUCUUCUGUCUUCUGCUAAAGCCAUGAGCAGUCGUAGGUUUGGGACGACCGUAUGCGAAAGUCGGCAUAAGGUAUCUAAUCUAUGAUUUUAUAUCAUUCAUUAGUGUUAUAGAUGCUGACUUGGGGUCGUCGCCUAUCGGAACGACUGUUCUAAAGUUCUCCGCUUAUGCGGGGUUUGCAAGUAUUGCACAUCGGUAGUAUUGCGUUCGAGAUGUAUGCAUGUGCGUGACAUUUCUAAUGUUGAAUUAGAAAGCUGCGUAUGUAUGUGCAUCUAUGCUGAAUGUAGUAUCUAUCGGUGUGUGGCACAAUCGAUGGCUAGUAGGUCGGUAUCCAUAUGACCC